GCCCGGCUGGCACAAUUGGUUAGCGCGUGGGCCUUUUACGAAGAUCUUCUUCAACAACAGCCCAAGGUAAACUCCUUCGUCUUCAGUUCUUCUCCGAACAACGCAACUAAUUCUAUUAACAGGUUGAGAGUUCGAGCCUCUCGUCGGGCG